GUCUGCUUGUUAUUUUCUGCAACAAGAUGGCUGUGGUUCCUGAGAGCAGAGUCCUCACAUUCGGUGUUUUUAAAUGGAGCUCUUACUCCUCUACAUAUUUACCCGAGAAUAUCUUGGUGGACAAACCUAAUGAUCAGUCUUCCAGGUGGUCUUCUGAGAGCAACUACCCUCCACAGUUUUUAAUUUUGAAAUUGGAAAGGCCGGCGAUUGUUCAGAGCAUCACUUUUGGAAAAUAUGAGAAGACUCACGUGUGCAACUUGAAGAAGUUUAAAGUGUUCGGUGGGAUGAGUGAAGAAAACAUGACAGAGCUUUUGUCCAGUGGCCUUAAGAAUGACUACAAUAAGGAAACGUUCACCUUAAAGCACAAGAUUGAUGAGCAGAUGUUUCCCUGCAGAUUUGUCAAAAUAGUGCCUCUGAUGUCUUGGGGUCCAAGUUUUAAUUUCAGCAUCUGGUACAUUGAGCUGCACGGUAUUGAAGAUCCUGAUGUGGUGCAGCCCUGCCUUAACUGGUACAGCAAGUACAGAGAACAGGAAGCCAUCCGCCUUUGCCUGAAGCAUUUCCGUCAGCAUAACUACACAGAGGCCUUUGAGUCGCUGCAGAAGAAAACCCGGAUAGCGCUGGAGCAUCCGAUGCUCACCCACCUGCACGACCGCCUGGUGCUGCAGGGAGACUUUGAUGCUUGUGAGGAGCUCAUAGACAAAGCUGUGAGAGACGGUCUGUUUAACCAGUACAUCAGCCAGCAGGAGUACAAGCCCCGGUGGAGUCAGAUCAUCCCCAAAUGCAACAAAGGUACCCAAGAAAUCAACCGAGACGACAUGACGAGUGACGGUGACGACAACAGGCCCGGGAUGAGGGGAGGACACCAAAUGGUCAUCGAUGUGCAGACUGAAACCGUUUACCUGUUCGGAGGCUGGGACGGCACUCAGGACCUCGCUGACUUCUGGGCUUAUAGCGUUCAGGAGAACCAGUGGGCCUGCAUCUCCAGAGACACCGAGAAGGAGAGUGGUCCGAGUGCUCGUUCGUGCCACAAGAUGUGCAUCGACUCCCAGCGGCGUCAGAUCUACACUCUGGGCCGGUACCUGGACUCCAGCGUCAGGAACAGCAAGUCUCUGAAGAGCGACUUCUACCGUUACGACAUCGACGCCAACACCUGGACGCUGCUCAGCGAGGACACGUCCGCGGACGGAGGACCCAAGUUGGUGUUUGACCACCAGAUGUGCAUGGACUCGGAGAAGCACAUGAUUUACACGUUCGGCGGUCGGAUCCUGACGUGUAACGGCAGCGUGGAGGACAGCCGGACGUCGGAGCCCCAGUUUAGCGGCCUGUACGCCUACCACUGCCAGGCCGCCACGUGGAGCCUCCUGCGGGAAGACUCAUGUAACGCUGGGCCGGAGGACGUCCAGUCCCGCAUCGGACACUGCAUGCUGUUCCACACUAGGAACCGCUGUCUGUACGUGUUCGGAGGUCAGAGGUCAAAGACGUACCUCAACGACUUCUUCAGCUACGAUGUGGACGGAGACCACGUAGAGAUCAUAUCUGACGGCACCAAGAAGGACUCCGGCAUGGUGCCGAUGACGGGCUUCACGCAGAGAGCCACCAUCGACCCCGAGCUCAACGAGAUCCACGUCCUGUCGGGCCUCAGCAAGGACAAGGACAAGCGGGAGGAGAACGUACGCAACUCCUUCUGGAUCUACGACAUCGCCCGCAACAACUGGUCUUGUGUGUAUAAGAACGAUCAGGCAGUGAAAGAAAACCCGAGCAAGGCUCUACAGGAGGAGGAGCCUUGUCCACGCUUUGCACACCAGCUGGUCUACGAUGAGAUGCACAAGGUGCACUACUUGUUUGGCGGAAACCCGGGAAAGUCUUGUUCUCCCAAGAUGCGUCUGGACGACUUCUGGUCCCUCAAACUGUGUCGGCCCUCCAAGGAGUAUCUGCUGCGCCACUGCAGAUACCUCAUCAGGAAGUACAGGUUUGAGGAGAAAGCCCAAUCAGAGCCGCUGAACGCGCUGAAGUACCUGCAGAACGACCUCUCGCUCACCGUGGAUCACACGGACCCGGACGAGACCAAAGAGUUCCAGCUCCUGCCCUCGGCGCUCUUCAAGUCCAGCUCUGAUUUCAUCCCACUGGGUUUCUCCGACGUGGACCAGACGUACGCUCAGAGGACGCAGCUCUUCGACACACUCGUCAACUUCUUCCCGGACAGCAUGACUCCUCCCAAGGGCAACCUGGUAGACCUCAUCACGCUCUAGCCCCUCCCCCCCCCCCUCCCCCCUGCAAUUACCUCACCCACUGGAGGAGACAGAGACCAGUUAUUUUUCUAUUCCUGAACCUUCCUGUGGGAUUUAACCAUUAUCACCACCAUCACUGAGCUGCUGUCAGUCUGCGCCCCCUGCUGGAUGUACCUGCAGAUCAGAAAAGUCUUCUCUACAGGAACGGCAUUCCCAGGAUGGAGGGAAAGGGUCGGCAUGGAGCAGGAAGUGUGGAUAGUUUUGUUUGUUUUGUUCCUUCGUCUCUACAGGUGAGUAUCCUCCUCGUCGGCGAUGUCCUCCUUCAGCAGGUUGUCUAUGGGGACGAUCCAGCUGUCGUUGAACUCUCCGUUUAGGGCCAUCUUCUUCUCCUGCAUCUCCGGCUGCACCUCCAUCACCUCCAGUGUUGGGUUAUCGUGGUAUCCGUUCUCCACCGUGUGCAACUCCUCCGUCAGAUGCUGCUGUAGAGAUAAAGGAGGAAGAAGUCAACAGAAAAGCUGUGUAUAGUAACUUAAAGUCAAUGUAUUGAGAUGUCUACCUUUCAGAACUGCAUUUUAUUAUAUUAUCACGAAAAAACUUGCUAUUUAAGGGAGAAUGUUGUUGAAGCAUGUGGGUAAAACAUGUGCUUCAAUAAAAAGCAUCAGCUGACUGUAAUGUAAAGAAACGUGCUCCACCUACCUGGUUCUCGUUGUACGGCUUGCGGUGGUGGGACGCACAAACAGCGAGGAUGACGAUCAUGAUCAGCAGAGCUCCACAGGAGGCCAGGAUGGCUAUCAGAGUUUUGUUAUCUGUUGGUUUCUUCAAGUAGAAACACACAGGAGGAUUACUUCUUUCACAAUGACAGAUUCAAACCACUAAUCCUGCUAGUAUAUUCAAUGUAUUAACCCUUACCUUGGUGAUUUCUUCAUAGUACUGGUUUGCAAGGUUUGUUGUCACUGUAAGACACAUUUUUCAGUAGUUAAGAAUUCAGCUUACAGUUCAUUUGACCUGACAAAUGUAAUUUUUCUUAUAGGAGGAAGAUGCUUUACCUUUGCCGUUUAUCUCCACACAGUCAAACUGUAAUCUGCCAUUGUCGUGCCGCCAUGACAGGGUGCAGUUUCCAUCUUCCAGGUUCUCCAUCAGCCGCUUGCACACCAGUACCAGAUCUUUUUCCUCCUCUUUCUGAAGGAUCUGGAUCAAGGCCGUCUCCUGCCGCCACGCCCUGCUUGGGAACUGGGAUGUUGAUAUAGUUCCCCCCCCCCCAUCUAUUGUUCUCGCAUGUACGCCAGCCAGCGCAAGACACCAGCCCAGUGUGCCAAGCAGGCAGCGUCUCCCCGAGGCCGGGAACCCUGGCUGUUAUCUUGUAGGAAACGGACAAGAUGUGAAUCUGCAAAAACGCAUGAGAGAGACGGGGAGGAAGUCCUGGAGACGACUGAUAACUGAUGAUGCUGCGGCCUCCUUCCUGAUGUCCAGCCAUGCACAUCCAAGAAUACAUCCAAGAGGACAAACACUACAGAAAUCACUGAGAAAAUGCACCGUAACCCCAACAGGAAAAUGGUCUUCGUUGUUUGCUGCUCAACCCUGAGUGGGAGGAGGCCUGACACGAGAGUAAUGAUGGGACCCAGAACUCUCCACACCUUGUUAUCUGAAGCCUGGUACCAAGUGGAGCUGCAUCUGGAGCCGUGACUACAGUACGUCGAUGUGUGUGAGUGUGGGUGUUUUUCUUAAAGAUUUUUGGAAAGGUUCAGGGUCAGAAGGUUCUGCUCUAAGCAAAUGCCUCUCCUUUGUUUUGACUGUGAACAGAUUUGUUGUUAACCCUCCUUCUAUCUGUUUACACAUUUCCUCUUCGGAAUGGAGAAGGUGGAGGGGCGUAAAGGUUAAAGGGAGGAAGUAGGUGACGUAUGAUACCUUAAGAAAGGGAGUGGAAGGAGGUGUUUGUGUGUGCCAUGGAGGAACAUUCCCUGGAGAGGAAGCUAACUGACUGUGGAGUCUCGAGGGAAUCAGUGACAGCCGGGGUCGAGCUGACGGACACACACCUCUAUCUGCCUUUGAAAGGACACACACACACACACACACACACACACACACACACUUAUCUGGAGGUGCUACAGCUCCGACUGACACCGCAAACUGUCGGCCAGAUCCACAGCAGACACACACACACACACACACACACACACACACACACACACACACACACACACACACACACACACACACACACACACACACACACACACACACACUGUCCUCUGAUGAAUAAGGCUCUGUUUUUGUUAGAAGAAAUCUCCGAGGUCAUUUCCAACUCUUCUCUGGCAAACGUCAGCCACAAUGAGAGAGUUCCUUUUGAACAGGUGCAUUCAUCAAAGCUCUGCACUUCCCAGGUCCCAAGUUUCCCCUUCGCUGUCUCCUAUCAGUGACACAUCUAGGUAGUGGAAUUGUUUCCAAGGUCAAGAUAUAACAGGACAUCUCAAUCCAGACUGUUUUACAAUACAUUUUCCCAUCCGAAUGAAAAGAAAGUUGCUUGGAAGAACUUCACUUUAGUUUUCAGAGUUCAAUCUUAUCUGCUACCUUUAUGGUUACAGAUUGGAGAAUCAGACUCAAAUCAGUGUCAUUUUAUACUCAUAAACCCUAACUUUAAACCUUAUUUUGGGAGAAUCCUCCACUCAUUAUCCAGAUUUUACUUUUUAAUAAGUAAGUGUAUUCACAGUAUAAAGAUAUUCUACUUUUGAACACCCUGAGCGUCCCUCUAACACCCCCCUCAGGACCAACUCUAACAUCAGUAUCUAGCUGAGAGACUUUUUAUCCUCCCAUAAUGUUAAGUAUUUAGUUAUAAAGCCAUAAAAUACUUGGAUUUUCAUCCGUAAGAGAUGGUUUGCUGUUAUUAAUAGUGUCUUAUAUUAACAAAGAGAUGGGUGGACGUGGAGGAUGACCAGACAAACUGUAGCACCAGAGGAAAGGGAAAGGGUGGAGGC